rnacentral:rRNA from 1 species
AGGCCUCGUUUGGAUGCUGGCUAUCCCCCCGGGAUCCCUGCCUAUUCCCCGGGCCAGGAAACCACGAGCCAAUUCAGCUCGGGGUGAUCCACCGGCGCAUUUGGAGGCCCACGACCGCGGGGUAGCCCCGCCCAUUCCGCGACUUUUCCCCGGGAGGGCCUUCCACGUAUGCAGUGCUCGGGGAGGAAACUCUCGCUCGCUCGAUCUCCCGAACGAGAGGCGGCAGCGGCGGCAAGAUCCACGAACGAUGCACCACCACGCUCCGCCCUCCUCCGUCCAACGCUCCGUCGGGCAACACGCACCACCGCCCUACACCUCGACGCCCCGCUCCUCCGGCGGGGGCGAUGGCGACUGCGACCGGGGGCAUCAUCCUCCCCCUUCCCGGAUCUUGUCUCUGCCUCAAAGCUUCAGUCACUUCCGGCGAAGACGACGGCCAGAGGUCAUCCUCCUCUUUCUCACCAAGGUUAUCCCCUCCUCCUCCUCUUCCACUCACCAUUUUUCUUCGCCAUGGUGAUUUCUUUUUCUGCUACACAAAUUGACGAGUGCAUGUACAGAUAGAAGGACCUCCUCUCCUGUCUGAGAUUUGUACCCAAGU